GGCAGGCCUCCUUGAGCUGUGGUGGGCUCCACCCAGUUCGAGCUUCCCGGCUGCUUUGUUUAUCUAAUCAAGCCUGGGCAAUGGCGGGCGCCCCUCCCCCAGCCUCGCUGCCGCCUUGCAGUUUGAUCUGAGAUUGCUGUGCUAGCAAUCAGUGAGACUCCCUGGGCGUAGGACCUUCCGAGCCAGGUGUGGGAUAUAGUCUCGUGGUGCGCUGUUUUUUAAGCCCAUCGGAAAAGCGUAGUAUUCGGGUGGGAGUGACCCGAUUUUCCAGGUGCCGUCCGUCACCCCUUUCUUUGACUCGGAAAGGGAACUACCUGACCCCUUGCGCUUCCCAAGUGAGGCAAUGCCUCGCCCUGCUUUGGCUCGCGCACGGUGCGCGCACCCACUGACCUGCGCCCACUGUCUGGCACUCCCUAGUGAGAUGAACCCGGUACCUCAGAUGGAAAUGCAGAAAUCACCUGUCUUCUGCGUCGCUCACGCUGGGAGCUGCAGACCGGAGCUGUUCCUAUUUGGCCAUCUUCGAAAUAUAAGAAUUUGAAAUGAAGAAAGAACAAUACAAGCUGCAGACCACAUAAAAGAAGAGAAAUGGGCAUUAGCUGUUGUGCUGUUAUUUGGAUUUCAGAAAAUGAUUCUUGAAACAUCACCUAGGUUCCCAUGGCCAGGAGACUCUCUAAAAGACAGCGUUUUCAUGCCUUUAAGUUGUGGACAGAUGGCUCAGUGACAGGCGAUGGGUAUUCAUACGUGCAGGACUGCAUCUCAUUACACUCUAACAAGAAGAUCGUAAUGGAAACAAUCAAAACCAAGCCUGGCUAAUCACAUGCAACAGACACUGAUUUUUUUUUUUUUUAACUAAGGGCAAGGACAUUUUCAUGCAAUCUGGGAAAUCUGAUGAUGGACGUUAUUUUCAUUAUCUUUUAUUUCUUUUGUUUUUUGAAAAGCUAAGUAAACCAAUAUAAUUUAAAAACUAAUUUCCAAUUACAUUACAGUUAUUUUUAUUAUUGUUUUCCCACAAUAUUAUUUUGGAUCAACCAUCUCUUUUUCUUGAUUACUAUUUUAUUAUCUUUCUAGAAGUCCUUUAAAAUGUCUUUUGUAAACCACUUUCUGCCCUUUAAGAUGUGUGCAAUCAAUAAAGAAGAAUCUUUCAGCACAACCUCCCAGUAUCCUCAUCAACAAAGUAAAUUUGAAUAUGUAGCAAAUACACAAGUCUCUACUUUAGUUUAUAAUGUAAAGUACAUGAUACCAGCCAGACUUUACCUAUAAGUACAUUAAAGAAAACCAGCAAUCUCAUAUAUUUUGUAGAACAAAUUUAAUUAAAAAUAUACAACCUGCCGGGCAUGGUGGCUCAUGCCACCCAGCACUUUGGA